rnacentral:rRNA from 1 species
AAGUUACUAAGGGUGUAUGGCGGAUGCCUUGGCUCUGAGAGGCGAUGAAGGACGUGACAAGCUGCGUUAAGCUACGAUUAGGUGCCAAUAACCUGUGAGUCGUAGAUUUCCGAAUGGGGCAACCCAGCAUACUGAAGGUAUGUUACCCGCAAGGGGGCAAACCCGGCGAACUGAAACAUCUAAGUAGCCGGAGGAAGAGAAAAUAAUAAUGAUUCUCCUAGUAGCGGCGAGCGAACGGGGAACAGCCCAAACCAGUAUUGUUUCGGCAAUAUUGGGGUUGUAGGACUGCAAUGUGGACUUAGUAUUUAUAGUAGAACCAUCUGGAAAGUUGGACCAUAGAGGGUGAUAGUCCCGUAAACGAAAUAAAUAUUAUACCUAGCAGUAUCCUGAGUAGCACGAAACACGUGAAAUUUUGUGUGAACCAGCCGGAACCAUCCGGUAAGGCUAAAUACUCCUCAGAGACCGAUAGUGAACUAGUACCGUGAGGGAAAGGUGAAA